GCGUCGUCCUGCGCGCUCCGCCCCCGGCGGCCAGUGCGUGUGCAUGCGCGCGCGCCCGGCCGGAAGUGCGCUCGCGUGGAGUUGUGGGCGCGUGGUGGGUUUGCCGGUUGGGAUCGUGGGCAUGGAACCACCACCUGGUGAGCGGAGGCCGGACAAUCAGAGCCCUACGGAUUCUCAGUGGUGCCACAUCGGAGGUAGAGCCUCAGUGCUGGGUGUGGGAUCUGGGCCGAAGAAAGGAGCCCUCGUUUCUCAGCCACACUCCCAGGAGGUUAGCCUCGGCAUUAGGUUGAUGGGGACAAGAUGAAACUGGAGAUGUCCUGCCCCAGUUUCAUCCAAAGGCUGAUUCCCCAUCAAGGUCCCAAGAUGGUUACCAAAAACUCCCCAAGUACGGUCGACACUUGCAUUCUUUAUGCCAUAGGGCAACUUGGAAAACCUUUCUACAGGGAGUUCUCCUUGAUCGGCAAAUCCUAAUUCACCAAUACGGAGUCCAGAAAUUCUGUUUCCCAGCCUCCCUCGCAGCUCUGCCGAUGCCCUUCCAGACAUUCAAGUGCAACUUAGUGACACGAGGCUGCAAGAACCAUGCAGAAAUCCUCCAGUAUCCACAGUUCAUUUCUACUGUGCAAAAGGAAGAACUCUGACAUACAGAGAAAUGUUCCCUCAUCACGUCUGGGGAGAGGAAGGUCGCAGUCAGAAAUUCUCUCAAAGGAGCAAGAUGUGGGGCACCCGGCUGGCUGAGUGGGUUGAGUGUCCAAUUUUGGCCUAGGUCACGAUCUCGCGGUUCCUGUGUUAGGCUGCCAGGUGGGGCUCUGCCCUGUGGGGCUGGCUGCACGGAGCCUGCUUCAGAUUCUCUGUCUCCCUGUCUCCGCCCUCCCCUGCUUGCACUCUCUCUUUCAAAACUAAAUAAACAUUAAAAAAAAAAAAAAAAGAGCAAAAUGUUUCCUUCUCUGAUGCCUCUGGCAAACCUUUUUUCUCAAAAGCCAGAAUUGUGGUUUUUUUUGUUUUUUUUUCCUGAAUUACUGGGGUUCGAAGAUGGGAUUCCACUUACGAUGGAAGGCUCAAGCCACGUAUCUAUCCCUUAAGGCUUAAGACGAAGGACAAAGAGAGAGAAGUGAGAACAGCCAGGUGACGAUCAGAAUAUUAAAGAAGGAUGAAGAAGUGAAGGCGUAUGGGAGGGAGGCGGACCUUGAGGUCUACCAGAAAAAGCUUAUCUUAAACUCCUUAGUUGUAUCUGUACCCGGCUCUUCACACAUAUAUUCCUCUUUGGUGCUCUCAGCUCUGCAUGAACACUUGUCAUGUUGAUGGUCACCGCUUGGAACUUCUGGAAACAGUCACCAGGACAGAAUGCAGCUUCCUCUUUCUGUGGUCAGAAGAGGUGUGAGUGAGGGGCCAGUUCCUUGUUUCCUCAAUCUCCCUUUGGUAAGAAUUGGGGCAAUAAAAAGAAUGACAAUGCCUUUCUCCUUA